AUGCGCCUGUCGAUGCGGACGUGGGGGCGUGUUUGCGAGCAGCAGCCCGUGUUCGUGGGCGUGGACGGCGCGAAGGCGAAGGAGCACAAGUCGGCGGCGACGGGGAGAAGGGCGGCCAGUUCGCGACGGCCACCGGCAGUCUGGAGUUUGAGGUGCUCAAGACGGAGCUGUGCAACAAGUGGAGGCAGACCGGGGGCCUGCCCGUACGGCGAGCAGUGCCAGUUCGCGCACGCACGGCAUCGCGCGCGCCGAGCUCCGCCCCAUCAUCCGCGCCCGGCGCUACAAGACCUAUGUCUGCCGCAUGGUCGUCGGGGGCGCCCUCUGCUCCGGCGGCCACUCCAUCACGGUCGAUCCAGUCCACUCUACUUGCGUCACUCGUUCCUCCCCCAACUUUAA
rnacentral:rRNA from 1 species